UUUGUUAAAGGUUGCCGACCCCUGGGCUAGCUGUUCAGGGAGGUAUUUAACAUGUUCCAGAUGAGAUUGCACUCCACCUGAAAGAACAGGUUCUCAGUCUGGGCAUGCAGGUUGUCACUGGAAGCUCAGCUGAAAGCUCAGCUGAAAGCGCUUUGCAUCAACUGAGACUGAUGCACUUCCAGCAACCCCCUCCUGGACAAUGCUAUGGUGACCCAUGCUCUGGUAACUUCCAGACUGUAAUGCACUGUAUAUUAGGCUACUUUUGGAAUGUGUUUGGGAAACUCAGUUCGUCAGGAUACAGCUACUUGGCUGCUAAGACAGGGAGAUAGGAACACAUCUCGGUAGCGCUAAAAUAACUGUACUGGCUCCAAGUAAUACAGCUUAACAACUGAGUAAUUGAAGAAGGACCUUCU